UACGUAGGGACCAAGCGUUGUUCGGAUUUACUGGGCGUAAAGGGCGGGUAGGCGGCCACCGCAAGUCAGUUGUGAAAUCUCCGAGCUUAACUCGGAAAGGUCAACUGAUACUGUGCGACUAGAGUGCGGAAGGGGCAACUGGAAUUCUUGGUGUAGCGGUGAAAUGCGUAGAUAUCAAGAGGAACACCUGCGGCGAAGGCGGGUUGCUGGGCCGACACUGACGCUGAGGCGCGAAAGCUAGGGGAGCGAACAGG
rnacentral:rRNA from 1 species